rnacentral:rRNA from 1 species
ACAAGCGGUGGAGUAUGUGGUUUAAUUCGAUGCAACGCGAAGAACCUUACCUGGUCUUGACAUCCCAGAAAUCCCUUGGAAACUUGGGAGUGCUUCCAUUAGGAAGAAUCUGGAGACAGGUGCUGCAUGGCUGUCGUCAGCUCGUGUCGUGAGAUGUUGGGUUAAGUCCCGCAACGAGCGCAACCCUUGCCUUUAGUUGCCAGCAGUUCGGCUGGGCACUCUAAAGGGACUGCCGGUGUUAAACCGGAGGAAGGUGGGGAUGACGUCAAGUCCUCAUGGCCUUUAUGACCAGGGCUACACACGUACUACAAUGGCCGAUACAAAGGGCAGCGACAUCGCGAGGUGAAGCCAAUCCCAUAAAAUCGGUCUCAGUCCGGAUUGGAGUCUGCAACUCGACUCCAUGAAGUUGGAAUCGCUAGUAAUCGUGGAUCAGCAUGCCACGGUGAAUACGUUCCCGGGCCUU